rnacentral:rRNA from 1 species
GACGAACGCUGGCGGCGUGCCUAAUACAUGCAAGUUGAGCGAUGAAGAUUGGUGCUUGCACCAAUUUGAAGAGCAGCGAACGGGUGAGUAACGCGUGGGGAAUCUGCCUUUGAGCGGGGGACAACAUUUGGAAACGAAUGCUAAUACCGCAUAACAACUUUAAACAUAAGUUUUAAGUUUGAAAGAUGCAAUUGCAUCACUCAAAGAUGAUCCCGCGUUGUAUUAGCUAGUUGGUGAGGUAAAGGCUCACCAAGGCGAUGAUACAUAGCCGACCUGAGAGGGUGAUCGGCCACAUCGGGACUGAGACACGGCCCAAACUCCUACGGGAGGCAGCAGUAGGGAAUCUUCGGCAAUGGACGAAAGUCUGACCGAGCAACGCCGCGUGAGUGAAGAAGGUUUUCGGAUCGUAAAACUCUGUUGGUAGAGAAGAACGUUGGUGAGAGUGGAAAGCUCAUCAAGUGACGGUAACUACCCAGAAAGGGACGGCUAACUACGUG